rnacentral:tRNA from 1 species
ACGGUUGGUGCCGGGGAUUCCGCGCUGGCUGGGUAUCUGCUCGCCGACGUCGCGGGUGCGAGUCCUGCCGAUCGAC